rnacentral:rRNA from 1 species
CUACGUGCCAGCAGCCGCGGUAAUACGUAGGUCCCGAGCGUUGUCCGGAUUUAUUGGGCGUAAAGCGAGCGCAGGCGGUUAGAUAAGUCUGAAGUUAAAGGCUGUGGCUUAACCAUAGUACGCUUUGGAAACUGUUUAACUUGAGUGCAAGAGGGGAGAGUGGAAUUCUAUGUGUAGCGGUGAAAUGCGUAGAUAUAUGGAGGAGCACCGGUGGCGAAAGCGGCUCUCUGGCUUGUAACUGACGCUGAGGCUCGAAAGCGUGGGGAGCAAACAGGAUUAGAUACCCUAGUAGUCCACGCCGUAAACGAUGAGUGCUAGGUGUUAGACCCUUUCCGGGGUUUAGUGCCGCAGCUAACGCAUUAAGCACUCCGCCUGGGGAGUACGACCGCAAGGUUGAAACUCAAAGGAAUUGACGGGGGCCCGCACAAGCGGUGGAGCAUGUGGUUUAAUUCGAAGCAACGCGAAGAACCUUACCAGGUCUUGACAUCCCUCUGAUCGCUCUAGAGAUAGAGUUUUC